GUAUCAUUCCAUCCACCUUUCUCAUCUACAAGACAUUCAGUCAACAACUUUCAUGGGGAUAUUAGCCAAAAUUAAGGGCACUUUUACUGUAGACAGGCCUAAAUUUUGAAUUUGAAAGUGUCAAAAAGCUUACUGUUUUUGUUGAAGUCCCAGUAGACACACUUGACAGCGUCCCAAUCCUAUAGAGAAAGAAACAGUGGUGAAAUAUUACUUUAAUGAUCAGACUGUAAAUCUAUGAUAAUGUCAGGGGUUAUCAUAAUCAAUUAAUUACAGCUGCCUCGUUUUCAUGAGAAGCUAUUCUUAGGAAGAUAUUUGUUGACAAAAGAUAGCAUGCAUUUGGUAGCUUAUAUUAUUAUGGUAACUGUUUACUAUAGUUUGUUUCAACAGCUGUAUAACAGGACAAUAAUGAUGCUGAAUUGAUUUGGGGUUUGUUUUGGUGUUGGCUGAUUGUAUCCAUACAGACCUCUUUGUUUUGGAGAUGACGGAGAGUGACCAUCACUGGGAUCUCAAGGUUGCUUACUGUGGCAUUGGUGACGCUGGCAGAUACUACAUAAGAGUUCAGCUUCAUGACGGCUGUAGAGUCCUAGAUGUUAAAAGUCUGCCAUCAGAAGGGUGCUAUCAUUCAGUAAGGAGGACACCUCGAAUGUGAGGCCAUGGAACUGAGAGGUGUCAGGGUUGAUCAGCUGAAGUGCUAAUGAAGGUGCUGUCAUGUUAUGAGAGUCUCCCUCGAACACCGUCUGUCUCCCAUAAGGUGUGUUUGAUUAGGGUUGGAACUAAACUCUGCAGGACUGUGCCCUCCAGGACCGGGCAAUUCUUAUAGAAGUUGGUGACAGUUCAAUAGGAAAUAAGUUGAAU